GAGACUGGGUUUAUUUCUUCUUAAACUGGAAUGCAUUUUCAAUGUAUCUAAUACAUGCAUUGAUGAACUAGUAGAAGAGCUUCAUUUUCUUACAUCUGCUUCUGGCCCAGUUAUAAAGGAGAUUAUACUGAGCACCUUCAUGAAGCAUGGCUGUUCUUUUGAAGAUUCUGUGAUCUCAGACUUGGUGAACGAUCUUUGCCAGCUAAACCCUUUCUGUGCUGCUUUAGGGGUGGAUGGGCCUUUAAGCACACACUACAGAAGAGACCAAUUUAUAAAAGAGCACCUCUCACUGACUGAGCCAGUUGAGUACAUACUUGAUGGUAGUGAGAAAAAAACCUUCCAGUACGUACCAAUUCUCCCAUUAUUGUCUCAACUUCUGAGCAACAGGCACAUUGCGGACACAAUAUUACAGCAAAGAGAGCCAUUAGAUAUUUUCUCUGGAUACAAAUCAUUGCAUGAUGGAUCAUUCUUCAAACAAAACAGCUUCUUUUGUGGACACGAAUUUAAACUCCCGCUUGUUCUUUACAUAGAUGAUUUCGAAGUGUGCAACCCACUGGGGACCUCCCGCAAGAAACAUAAAGUCACUGCUGUGUACUGGGUGUUUGCAGACAUCCCAGCUACCUUGCGAUCCACUCUGACUUCCAUCUACCUAGCCAUUCUGUGUAAGGCAGCUGAUGUCAAUCAAUAUGGUUACCCAAAAGUGUUGGAGCCACUGCUUAGAGAUUUGAAAUCCUUGGAAGAUGAUGGCAUUUUUGUGCCAAGCUUAGGCAAAGUGGUCAAGGGAACUGUAUUUGCUGUAGCUGCUGAUAAUCUUGCAGCUCACUCUGUAGGUGGGUUUGUUGAAAGCUUUUCUUCCUCCUUCUUUUGCCGCUUUUGCCUUGCAGAACGUUCACGUAUCCAGGCCCAUGAAGUAGGACCAGGAACUUUUCCCCCACGGACUAAGUCCAAUUAUGCCUUGCAUGUCAUUGAAGCAAUAUCUGACACUACUGGAGCUCAUCACUGUGGAGUAAAAAGACAGUGUCCCAUCUCUGACAAACUGACUUACUUUCAUGCCACUUCAGGUUACCCCCCUGAUGUCCUGCAUGAUUUGCUUGAAGGGAUUGUACCGUUUGAAUUAGCACUCUGUCUGAAUGUGUUCAUCAAGGAGAAAUACUUUUCUCUUCAGGAGCUCAACUGUUCCAUCUGUCAGUUUCCUUACAAGUGGAAUGACAAAACAAACUGUCCACAAGCCAUCCCCCUGACUUUUGCAUCACGUAAAAGUGUAGGAGGCAAUGCACAUGAAAACUGGUGCUUGUUGCGGAUGCUACCUUUUAUGAUUGGUGAUCGAAUACCAGAGAAUAAUGCAGUUUGGCAGGUUUUGAUGUGCUUGAAAGAUGUUGUUGAGCUUGUCAUGGCUCCUGUCCACACAGAUGAGACACUAGGAUACAUGGAAAGCAAGAUUAGUGAACACAGGUACAGGUUUUUGGAUGUGUUCCCAGAGGAGACUCUGAAACCAAAGCAUCACUUCGUAGAACACUAUCCUGAGCUUACAACUGCUUUUGGACCUCUUGUGGCUCUCUGGACCAUGCGCUUCGAAGCCAAGCAUAAAUUCUUCAAAAGAAUUGUGAGGCAGACUGGCUCGUUCAGAAACAUUCUCAGGACAAUGGCAAGAAAACACCAAUCAAUGAUUGCAUAUCACAUUCAUGAUGCUGAUGUUCAGCGGCCGAUGCCAUCAGUGUCCAAAGUGACACAAGUUGCAGUGGAGGUACUAAAAGACAGCAUUAGGGAGUCAUUUGCAAGGAAGUUUCCCAGAGCUGAGAUUGUGAACAUGACUGACAAGGUCACCAUUUUAGGCACUUCAUAUUGUGUUGGGAUGUUGUUGCCUUUUGGAUCGACAGGAGGGUUGCCUGACUUUGGAGAAAUACUCCAAAUAAUCAUUCUGCAUGAAAGCCCUGUUUUUGUUCUAAAGUUGCUAGGUGGGUGGUACCAGGAGCACCUGAGGAGCUUCAAAGUAGAGCCUAUAGGAGAAAUUGAAGUUGUUGUGCAUUCGGAGUUGAAAGAUGCUUACCCCUUGGCCGCAUAUAAUACAGCAGAUGGUCGUAUGGUGUCCCUGAAACACUUCAUUUGCAUAUCAGAGUAUGUAU
ensembl:lncRNA